rnacentral:rRNA from 1 species
GACGAACGCUGGCGGCGCGCUUAACACAUGCAAGUCGAACGGAAAGGCCUGCUUUCCCUUGUGGAUUGCGGGUACUCGAGUGGCGAACGGGUGAGUAACACGUGAGUGAUCUGCCCCCAACUUGGGUAUAAGCCUGGGAAACUGGGUCUAAUUCCCGAUAGGACUGCAGGGUGGUGGCUGUGGUGGAAAACGAUUUUCUAGUGGUUGGGGAUGAGCUCGCGGCCUAUCAGCUUGUUGGUGGGGUAAUGGCCUACCAAGGCGGCGACGGGUAGCCGGCCUGAGCGGGUGGACGGCCACAUUGGGACUGAGACACGGCCCAGACUCCUACGGGAGGCAGCAGUGGGGAAUAUUGCACAAUGGGCGGAAGCCUGAUGCAGCGACGCCGCGUGGGGGAUGACGGCCUUCGUGUUGUAAACUCCUUUCGACCGCGAGGAAGCCACCUGGUUGGAAGGGUGGUGACGGUAGUGGUAGAAGAAGCACCGGCUAACUACGUG